rnacentral:rRNA from 1 species
GAUGAACGCUGGCGGCGUGCCUAAUACAUGCAAGUCGAGCGAACAGACGAGGAGCUUGCUCCUCUGACGUUAGCGGCGGACGGGUGAGUAACACGUGGAUAACCUACCUAUAAGACUGGGAUAACUUCGGGAAACCGGAGCUAAUACCGGAUAAUAUAUUGAACCGCAUGGUUCAAUAGUGAAAGACGGUUUUGCUGUCACUUAUAGAUGGAUCCGCGCCGCAUUAGCUAGUUGGUAAGGUAACGGCUUACCAAGGCAACGAUGCGUAGCCGACCUGAGAGGGUGAUCGGCCACACUGGAACUGAGACACGGUCCAGACUCCUACGGGAGGCAGCAGUAGGGAAUCUUCCGCAAUGGGCGAAAGCCUGACGGAGCAACGCCGCGUGAGUGAUGAAGGUCUUCGGAUCGUAAAACUCUGUUAUUAGGGAAGAACAAAUGUGUAAGUAACUAUGCACGUCUUGACGGUACCGAAUCAGAAAGCCACGGCUAACUACGG